rnacentral:piRNA from 1 species
UAGGCAAACAUCCAAUGCAGGUCAGGA